UGUCAGGCUGUGACCUUCUAGAGGGAAGCACUUUCUGUUGUCUGAAAUAAAAGAAAGUGUUUCCUUUUAGGUGGUUACGGUUUGAGA
rfam:Callithrix jacchus chromosome 22, whole genome shotgun sequence